AAGAGACAGCAGUCGCCACGGUAAUACAGAGGGUGCGAGCGUUAAUCGGAUUUACUGGGCGUAAAGCGUGCGUAGGCGGCUUUUUAAGUCGGAUGUGAAAUCCCUGAGCUUAACUUAGGAAUUGCAUUCGAUACUGGGAAGCUAGAGUAUGGGAGAGGAUGGUAGAAUUCCAGGUGUAGCGGUGAAAUGCGUAGAGAUCUGGAGGAAUACCGAUGGCGAAGGCAGCCAUCUGGCCUAAUACUGACGCUGAGGUACGAAAGCAUGGGGAGCAAACAGGAUUAGAUACCCCGGUAGUCCCUGUCUCUUAUAC
rnacentral:rRNA from 1 species